AUUCGAAUAUCCGAUAGUGGAAUCAACGAACUGAUCUAUCCUAGAUUCUUUCAAGUUUGGAUUCAUUGAAUUUUUUAAAAAUUGAAAAAUUCAAAUUGGUUAGUCGGUAGACAUUUUUUUGGUGACCCAUGAGAAUAUUUGCUAAAUCUACCGCACCUAUUGUGACGAUAAGGGUUUCAAAAAGAAAGGGAAAAAAAAAGCCUUAAAUCUAGCCAGAAACCGUGAGAUUUUCGAUGAGGCAUGCCUUGCCAACAAGGGCAUAUUAAUUCCUUGAGUCCCCAUAUUAAACCUUAGGUACCUUAGUAGCCGUCUUUUCCUUUCGAGACACUAUCGUACCUGUGAGGGAGGAGCCGAAAGGUUUAGGUCAGGAAUCAAAACGUCGUGAGAUUUCAGACUUCUGUAAGUCCUUAGGUAGGAGCAAACCGAUGCCAGGGCACUUCGUAACUAGCGGGACAGACGCACCGCCAAGGACGAACGGAAGGCGGUGGUCUCAUCGACAACGGCAGUCGAACUCUGCGAUUAGGGUUCAUCGGGCUUCUCGGGUGAGGAAGACAAAGUAGAGGGUCGCGGGUCGGGUUCUACGGGUACCCACGAGCUCGAUCAGCCAACAUGCGGCCCACCGUUGUGGCCCACGCCUUGCAAUCCGCGUCAAACACUAACUUUGGGCCGCGUAUCCAUUCUAGCCCAAGACCAGCAAUACCAACCUGCAUACAGGAGUUGUGCACCACCAGGGACCUUCUCAGCUUGUCGGCUCAGUGUUUCGGCUCGACGGUGUGGCUCGACGGCUCGGCUUAACGGCUUGGUAUACAAAUAAUAUACCGAUUCCUAGGUUUUCGACCCUUCUGGAGCAGUUCCCGCCCUUAUUUUAGGCAUCUGAGGAGGUAGUUAGACGUGGGUGUUAGCUUAUCGCGAGUAAGGCCAAGAGGUAAGUAACCUUAAUGUUGGUGUUAGUUAUGUAUGUAUGAUGGUGUGCCUUGUGGCCCUUGCAUGCACCAUGUGUGUUGUUGAUGCAUGCUAGGUUAUAUGUUUCUUGCCGCGAAAUGCUACGUAUGCCAUGUUUAUGUAUUUGAUGUUUGUGCCAUGACUUGCUACCCUGUAUGCAUGAGCUUGAUUGACAGGUCACGAUUGUAAUGAGAACUCCGCAUGCCAUGAAUGUGAUGACUAGUGUGCUACGAUAUGCUUACUCGAUGUUUAACCCAGUUAUGCUAUGUAAUGCGGUGAGGGGAUGGAACGUUGUAUGUAUAAUGUCAUGGAGGUAAACCUUAAGGACCUCAUGCACGCUAUGUGUUAAGUACACAGGGUUACUUCCCCGUUGUGUUAAUGAUGGUAUGGACGCGUAUGUUCGAUAUUAUGCUCGCUAUGAUAUCAUGCAGUCCCUCCUUUUCCGUGGCGUCCGGUAUUGUAUGUCAUACGUACUCGACCAAGCCAGGCCCAAGGAGUUCGCAUGUGAACUCGCUUGGUGAGCCCACGGUUAUGUACGUGGGCCAUGCGUGGGGAGCUACCAUGCAUCCACCCUGCCCGGACAAAGCAAGGGCCUAAGGCCAUGGAAAGGAAUGGAAGACAGGUAAGGGCAAGGCCCCCAUGUACGGCUGACGGUGAACGCUGCGAAGGCCAUGGAAGUCUUAGAUAGGGCUUGUAGUGUCGUAGGCGUCUUGUUUGGACUCUUUCGAAUGAUAGUUAAAUUGCAAUUAUUCCUCCUAGUUACCUGUUGAUUUAUUUCUUAGUUAGAUUGUCGCUAUUGUUUUCCCCAAAUAUGAACUACUUAUAAUAAUGAACAUGUUGUCGCUA